GUAGCCGGGUUGAGAGACCGACCGGCCAGAUUGGGACUGAGACACGGCCCAGACUCCUACGGGAGGCAGCAGUGGGGAAUCUUGCGCAAUGGGGGCAACCCUGACGCAGCGACGCCGCGUGCGGGACGGAGGCCUUCGGGUCGUAAACCGCUUUCAGCAGGGAAGAGACGAGACUGUACCUGCAGAAGAAGCCCCGGCUAACUACGUGCCAGCAGCCGCGGUAAU
rnacentral:rRNA from 1 species